AUUGAACGCUGGCGGAAUGCUUUACACAUGCAAGUCGAACGGUAGAGGGGGCAACCCCUCGAGAGUGGCGAACGGGUGAGUAAUAUAUCGGAACGUGCCCAGUCGUGGGGGAUAACGUAGCGAAAGUUACGCUAAUAUCGCAUACGAUCUAAGGAUGAAAGCGGGGGAUCGCAAGACCUCGCGCGAUUGGAGCGGCCGAUAUCAGAUUAGGUAGUUGGUGGGGUAAAGGCUCACCAAGCCAACGAUCUGUAGCUGGUCUGAGAGGACGACCGGCCACACUGGAACUGAGACACGGUCCAGACUCCUACGGGAGGCAGCAGUGGGGAAUUUUGGACAAUGGACGCAAGUCUGAUCCAGCCAUUCCGCGUGCAGGAUGAAGGCCCUCGGGUUGUAAACUGCUUUUGUACGGAACGAAAAGGUCUCUCUUAAUACGGGGGACUCAUGACGGUACCGUAAGAAUAAGCACCGGCUAACUACGUGCCAGCAGCCGCGGUAA
rnacentral:rRNA from 1 species